UUGAUUCAAUUUUGUCUAUUCUUGAAAAUAGACACCCUUGAUUUUUUAGGACAUCAUCGAACUUAGCCUUCAUUUCAGUUGCUAAUGUUUGAAUUUCCCGCCGUAACAAGUCCGUGCUGGUUGCGGAAGUGGUGAGAGCCGGUGUUGUUGUUUCCAGUUUAUCGGCGGCUGAAGUAAUCAAGUUAGAUUGUGGUUGCUUUGAUAUUAAUCAGAUGACAGACGAAUAUCUACUGCAAGAUAUAUGUAUCAAAUAAUGAAUGGCACUAUGCAGCAACAGAGCAUGACCAAUGUUGCAAGACAAGAAAAGUACACUGAAAUUUAGUUCCAAAGAGUAAUCCUGGUGAAAGAACACAAACAAUUAUUGUAUCUUUAAUAACAAGUUACUUGAUCAAGACAACUUGCAUUAUUUCGAAUUAUUGAUCAUUAUUAUAGAGAAGAUAUGAUCGAAUUACAUUAAGAUGUGGAAGAGGAGCCAGAACUAAUAUAAUUAAUUUUUCUUAUAUAGGCCGUGCAAAGCAUAUUAACGAAAGUUAAUAUGGUUAUGCCUAAUAGUUUGCAAGACAAUUAAAAGAAGAUAUACUGGAGUUUAGUUCAACAUCUUGCUGAAUAUUGAGACAGCUUAAUCAUGGUGAAA